UAACUUUUCCUUUAAUCAAAGCGCUGUAAGCGCUGAAGGCAGUUAACCAAAAACCAAGGCAACCGUAAUUAUGAAAACUGUGGCAAUGUUGCCUCAACAUUAAACAUUCAUAUAUAGUACAUUCAUGUUUAUCUAAUGAUUUAUUUAUUAAGGCAAAUAAUUUAUAUGUUAUCAAGGUUUCAAAAGCAAUGCAUAUACGGUAUCAAUGUAUAUUUUUUAUGGUGAGUCUGCAGUGGUACAAGUUCCCAAUGAUUGCAGUUGUUCUACUUGGUAGUUAACCUUGGUUUUAUUUGACUGCUAGAAGUUCAAUUUGACUUAGUAUGAACAUGUAAUAGUUUGAAUGGACUGGUUUCCCUGGAAAGAAAACUGAGUUUGUGUUCUAUAGUACAAAAGUUAUGAGACACGAAUCAGACAAAUGUUCACUACAACAGGGAUCAAAGGUGAG
rnacentral:lncRNA from 1 species